AUUGAACGCUGGCGGAAUGCUUUACACAUGCAAGUCGAACGGCAGCACGGACUUCGGUCUGGUGGCGAGUGGCGAACGGGUGAGUAAUGUAUCGGAACGUGCCCAGUCGUGGGGGAUAACGUAGUGAAAAUUACGCUAAUACCGCAUACGAUCGAUGGAUGAAAGCGGGGGAUCGCAAGACCUCGCGCGAUUGGAGCGGCCGAUAUCAGAUUAGGUAGUUGGUGGGGUAAAGGCCCACCAAGCCAACGAUCUGUAGCUGGUCUGAGAGGACGACCAGCCACACGGGAACGGGGACACGGUCCAGACUCCUACGGGAGGCAGCAGUGGGGAAUUUUGGACAAUGGGCGAAAGCCUGAUCCAGCCAUUCCGCGUGCAGGAUGAAGGCCCUCGGGUUGUAAACUGCUUUUGUACAGAACGAAAAGGUUUCUACUAAUACUAGGAGCUCAUGACGGUACUGUAAGAAUAAGCACCGGCUAACUACGUGCCAGCAGCCGCGGUAA
rnacentral:rRNA from 1 species